AACUCUGGUGGAAGCCCGCAG
rnacentral:snRNA from 1 species